AUGAGAUUUGUAGAUUCAAAAACAAAAUUAAACAGAAACAAGAAAGAAGGGAUUUCGUUCACAGACCCUUCCAUCUCUUCCUCACAGCUAGCUCAUCUUCAACCCACAACAACUAUCUUCUUUCGCCCUCCACCCGGGAGAAACUUUCCCUCCAUCCGCCUUCAUCUCACCUGCAGACACCUGUCUCUAACCGGUCACCACCACAGCAUGACACAGUCAACGAGAGACCACCUUCCGCUCGCGAAACCUGCCACCACCAUCAUCAAUACACCGUCCCUGCCAAUCUUCUUUCAGCAACCCACAUGCUACCGGUCAAGACCUGCUAACGUCCACACCACCUCUUCUCACUUCAAUAUCUCCACUUCCUUCAACACUCAAGUGGAUAAACUUCAAUCUCUAUAUCUGUGUGUCGAAGAGAGGUUGCCUAGUCAAAGAGCUUGUGGAUCGAAGCAAGCUACACACAGAUUUGAUAAGUUUUAG